rnacentral:rRNA from 1 species
AGAGUUUGAUCCUGGCUCAGAAUCAACGCUGGCGGCGUGCCUAACACAUGCAAGUCGCACGAGAAAGGGUAGCAAUACCUGAGUACAGUGGCGCACGGGUGAGUAACACGUGAAUAAUCUACCUCCGAGUGGGGAAUAACUGAGAGAAAUCUUAGCUAAUACCGCAUAACACUUACGAGUCAAAGCAGCAAUGCGCUUGGAGAGGAGUUCGCGGCCGAUUAGUUAGUUGGCGGGGUAAUGGCCCACCAAGACGAUGAUCGGUAUCCGGCCUGAGAGGGCGCACGGACACACUGGAACUGAAACACGGUCCAGACUCCUACGGGAGGCAGCAGUGGGGAAUUUUGCGCAAUGGGGGAAACCCUGACGCAGCAACGCCGCGUGGAGGAUGAAAUAUCUUGGUAUGUAAACUCCUUUCGAUGGGGAAGAUUAUGACGGUACCCAUAGAAGAAGCCCCGGCUAACUUCGUGCCAGCAGCCGCGGUAAUACGAGGGGGGCAAGCGUUGUUCGGAUUUAUUGGGCGUAAAGGGUGCGUAGGCGGUUUGGCAAGUCUGAUGUGAAAUCUAUGGGCUCAACCCAUAGUCUGCAUCAGAAACUGCCGGGCUUGAGUAUGGGAGAGGUGAGUGGAAUUUCCGGUGUAGCGGUGAAAUGCGUAGAUAUCGGAAGGAACACCUGUGGCGAAAGCGGCUCACUGGACCAUAACUGACGCUGAUGCACGAAAGCUAGGGGAGCAAACAGGAUUAGAUACCCCCGUAGUCC